CACUCUUUACCUAAUAAGGUCAUCUUAUGAGCAAAGUUAAAUUAUUAGUCAAAGAUUUACCUGGGUCAUGUGAACUAAAAGGCAUUCAAAUUGAUCAUGUGAACUUUUUGGAAGAUUUGUAACAUGUAUAAACCCAUAAAUAAGUAUCCAAUGGUGACACUCAGAAGCAUCAUUUGUUUACCAGAAGCACCCAUAUUCAUCCCAGCAAGCUCCAUCAAGGAUACACAUGCAGUCUUUACAGAGGGAAGCUUGGAAUUCAAUGGAGAAGAGAGUCAGGAGGCAGCGCUGGAACAGGCCAACCCUGAUACAGUAAAAAGAAACUACCUUACUCUGGAAAGGGAUGGACGGCAGCAUCUGAGGUAACCAAACAAGAAUGAAAGAACCCAUGGUCACUCUGGAGAGACGAGCAGUCCUCUAAAGGAAUGUACAUUUCGGGCGUGAUCAGAACCACGGAGAAGCAGCACACACAGGUCCCCAACAAGACAGAAACCAUUCUACCCUUACCGUCACGUCUAUAGAGACGGGUUUAUUGUCAUUCGUAAAGCACAGAUUGAGGAGGGAAGUAAUUGGUUAUGAUUAACUAUGGAUUGGACUCAGUGAAUAAAGAAAUAUAGUUGUUAGAACAACCAAAAAAUAUAUGCUUCACAUCAAGUUGAAAAAUGCAGAUAUCAUUAAUAAUGUGAAAUAGAAAACUAUGUGAACAUAUCUGACUUAAAAUGAGCC
rnacentral:lncRNA from 1 species